UAAACAUGCUACUGAAAUUAUUCUGCUGAAAGAAAAAUCUGUGUUGAUCUUUUUUGAUUUUUCAUCUAUAGGGGUAAACUCAUGACAGAUUGACAUGAAAAAAU